rnacentral:rRNA from 1 species
AUUGAACGCUGGCGGCAUGCUUUACACAUGCAAGUCGAACGGCAGCGCGGGCUUCGGCCUGGCGGCGAGUGGCUAACGGGUGAGUAAUGCAUCGGAACGUGCCCAGUAGUGGGGGAUAGCCCGGCGAAAGCCGGAUUAAUACCGCAUACGACCUGAGGGUGAAAGCGGGGGACCGAAAGGCCUCGCGCUAUUGGAGCGGCCGAUGUCGGAUUAGCUAGUUGGUGGGGUAAAGGCUUACCAAGGCGACGAUCCGUAGCUGGUCUGAGAGGACGACCAGCCACACUGGGACGGAGACACGGCCCAGACUCCUACUGGAGGCAGCAGUCGGGAAUUUUGGACAAUGGGGACAACCCUGAUCCAGCCAUGCCGCGUGCGGGAAGAAGGCCUUCAGAUUGUAAACCGCUUUUGUUCGGGAAGAAAUCCUCUGGGCUAAUACCCCGGGGGGAUGACGGUACCGGAAGAAUAAGCACCGGCUAACUACGUG